rnacentral:rRNA from 1 species
GAGAGUUAAAUAGUACGUGAAAUUGUUGAAAGGGAAACGCUUGAAGUCAGUCGUGCCGGCGUUGGAUUCAGCUUGCUUCGCGGAGCAGGCGUAUUUCCGCGCAUGGCAGGUCAGCGUCAGUUUUGCGCGGCGUGAAAAGGCUCGGGUAAGGUAGCUCUCUUCGGGGAGUGUUAUAGACCUGGGCAGAUGCGCUGCGCGGGACUGAGGAUUGCAGCGGACACCCCCUCGGGGGCGCGGCGACCGAACCCUGCUCGGCCACCCUCGUUCGAUAGCGUGCUAGCGGACGCGGGAGCGGCAGUGCACCGGAACAGGCAAGCCAGCGGUUCGCUAAGGAUGCUGACGUAAUGGCUUUAAACGA